rnacentral:rRNA from 1 species
ACGGAAGGCAGCAGUGGGGAAUAUUGGGCAAUGGGGGAAACCCUGACCCAGCAACGCCGCGUGAAGGAAGAAGGCCUUCGGGUUGUAAACUUCUUUUACCAGGGACGAAGAAAGUGACGGUACCUGGAGAAAAAGCUCCGGCUAACUACGUGCCAGCAGCCGCGGUAAUACGUAGGGAGCGAGCGUUGUCCGGAUUUACUGGGUGUAAAGGGCGUGUAGGCGGAGCUGCAAGUCAGAAGUGAAAUCCCCGGGCUCAACCCGGGAACUGCUUUUGAAACUGUAGCCCUUGAGUAUCGGAGAGGCAGGCGGAAUUCCUAGUGUAGCGGUGAAAUGCGUAGAUAUUAGGAGGAACACCAGUGGCGAAGGCGGCCUGCUGGACGACAACUGACGCUGAGGCGCGAAAGCGUGGGGAGCAAACAGGAUUAGAUACCCUGGUA